rnacentral:lncRNA from 1 species
CGGUCACUUCCAGGAACCCGGCCUCUGGCUGUGCCAGCCCGGCGGUCAGAGCGCGCGGAGAGGUUCCCAGAAAUCACACGCGCCCUGGAGCGGAGACAGUCCCCACCCGGGCGGCCUGGGCAUCACUGUUUUCGUCUCAUCACCGGCCCCAGGCCACCCUCUCCUGACGCUGCCCCCUGGCCCCCAGCCCCUGACCCUGGGAAGAAAGUCAGCGCAGACACAUUGGAGCUGCCUCGGGUACAGCAGCCAAGGCCGACCUCGCCUUCCCUCAUUGCAAGCUCUCUCCUCCUUGCAAGCUGUCUGCUCAACUGUUAAGCUCUCUCUCUUUUGUGGAGGCCUCUGCCCUUUCUCUCUGGCCUCAUUUCCUUACAAAGUCAGACCAGGACUCCUCCAUGCGCAGUGACAGAAACCUGUCUGAAAACAGCUUAAGCCAAAAGAGAUUUUGUUGGUUUGCAUCACAAGGAAGUCAGAGGUGGAGCAGGCCUCACUGGGAGCUGGAAGGAAGACUCCAGCAGUGUGUGCUGUCUCUCUUCUCCUCUGGGAUCUGCGUGGGACUCUGUGUGGGCCUGGGACUGACAGUCCGCUCCCUAUGUGGCUAGGCCUGUAACGGGAACCCGGCAGCAGUGGGUGGUGGCCUGCACGGGGCUAAGCCAGGUGGCAGGGUUCUCCCUGGAGUCUGGGGCCCUUAGCGUCUGAUCCAGUCCUUCCUGCGGCGGCUGCACCGUGACCUCCACUUUCUACAACACCCCUGCAAGCAUAGGGUAAAGGCUCCUUUGCUGAGUGUGAUUCAAGCUGAUUACUUUACUUGCAACGAAGAGUCUGGACUCACACAGGUCUCUGGGCAGAGCCGGCUCCAUCCCAGGCCUCUCUGCUUGUCCAAGAGACAGUGCUCGGGGAGCAAGGAGGAGAAGAGGAGGGACCCAGACACGCCCGGCCUCCAGCUCUGCAAACCUCUCCUCCCCACCGCUGUGAGACAGGGGAGUGGCUUAGCUCUCCUCUGACUCCAGGCCUGGACCAGGUCCCAGGAGGGCCUGUCAAGAUUCUGGGGGGAGGUGCUGAAGUAGGCAGAGAUGUUUGAGUAGCUGUCAGUGUAGCAGCAUCUUGCCCAGGCUCAGAAGUUUCUGGUGACCACCCAGCAGCCGCCUUCCAGCUCCACCAGCUGCAGGGUACAGCUGGUCCCGGCUCGGAGCAGGCGCUGCCAGCAGCAAAGUCCCAUCUUGGAGCUGCACAUCUGUGCGACUGCUGACCAGAAGCUCUAGAGUCAACGGGACCACAUGAGAAAACAGGUGGAGGAGAUGGGCACGGGGUGAAAAACCAAGAGAGCUCCUGGCUGCCAGAGCCCGAGGAGGAGGGGCAGCUGCCAUCCACCUGGCUGACACAGCUGCUGAGCGGCACUGCCUGUGCUGAGCACUCUGGUUCGGGGCCACUGGUGAAGGAGUCAUGCAUCCAGUAGCAGGUGCCAGACCAUCAUCCUGGGGCUGCCCCACACCUGAGCUGGAAGGACGGAACUGGCAGCCUGAGCCUGCCUGUCAUGUCUGUCCUGUCUUGACCCAAGAUUGAAGCAAGUGGUCCCAGAGGUGGCCCAGCAAAGACCCACAGAUCGCUAUUUCUCUGGUGGCCACAUGGCCUACCUGUGAAGGUCCCUCCCUGGAGAAACUACCCAAAGGCUGGGAAAUAAACAUUUUUG